CACACCCGUUCCCAUACCGAACACGGAAGUUAAGCUCUCUAGCGCCGAUGGUAGUUGGGACCUUGUCCCUGUGAGAGUAGGACGUCGC
rnacentral:rRNA from 1 species